rnacentral:lncRNA from 1 species
ACACUACCUACAAAAGCAACAAACUCUACAUUGACAUAUUUUUGGUAUUUUGGUUAGUAAGUAAUGAAAAACAAAGUAUGAUACAAUCUAAAGUGCUUGGUGACCUUUCCCAAUCCAAGCCCAAUGAAUGAGGGGUAAGGAAGAUGCCAAGGUGUAAUCCCAAUACUAAUUCAUAUGAUGAGAUAGCAUGAGGGAUCUUAGGGUCAAAAUUGGGGUCUUACAGCUGC